rnacentral:lncRNA from 12 species
AUGAAGGUUAUUACCGACGACACUGAGAAGAAAGGUAAAUUCGCAAAGGGAGUGAAGUCCGCGGGCCCGCGGAGGCCUGGGAAACACCACGAAAGCGGAGAGGGGGACGCAGGAGGCCGCGGCCGCCGUGCCCGCCCCGGGGAGGCCUCCUCGCCACGCCCGGGCCUCGGCCGGACCCCGGAUCCCGCAGUUUCUGGGGUUUGGGGAGCUCACCGUGCUCGCCCCGCCCCGCCUGUCUCCCGCGGCAGCGUCCGCACGUCUGUCCACCGGUGUCUUCAUUGCCUCCGACCCACCUUCAGUCCCCGGUCCCCUGAACGAUGGUGCCCUCCGACCCGUCCCGGAAAGAAGCCCCCAAUUUACCAUCACUGUUGGGUAUCUUCCUAGCACGUGAUGGUGGCCGGAAGUACAGAAAUGUCCCAAGAGCACAGCUUUUUCUUCUAUGAACCAUGACGAAAGCCUCCCACCUGGGCUCCCCUUUACCUGGACUAGAAUGCACAGGUUCACCUGUGGACCCGGAGUCCCAAAGAGCCUAGCCUCUGCCACCCAGCUGUGGUACCUUGCACAAGACACUGAUCCCAUGCCUCAGUUUCCUCAUCUGCAAAAUGGAAAUAACAACAAUGCUCAACUCCUAGGGGUGUUGUGAGGGUUACAUGAGACUAUCUCUCUGCAAAGUACAGCAUCCAGAACAUAGCAGGUGCUGGACAAUACUUUCCUUACCUUUCCCUUACCUUUAGCCAAGCUGUGUUCCCAACAUUCCUCUUGCAUUUGCACUGGUGAAAAUCCCUCUCUCUGCCUGCCUGGGUCAGGGACACCCUAUAGGAUCGGGACAAGCACCUCAGCUCCUAGCCAGAACCAGACCCCCAUACCAGCGCACUGCUCAUCCUGCUGCACCCCUGGGUUCUUACCUCAGCCUUCAGUGCUUCCAUCUACGUAGUUGUGUCUCCCCAACUUUUUCUCAUACAUGAACCCCCACACACACUCCCCCACACUUUUAGACUGUUAAUGCUGCUGAAGGUAAGUACCACCUUGCACAUAUUAAAUGCCAAGUGCUGCCUAGCACGGAGCCUUCCUGACUCAAUAAAUGUCUGUUCCUCCGCA